rnacentral:rRNA from 1 species
CCUUUGCUCAGGAUGAACGCUGGCGGCGUGCUUAACACAUGCAAGUCGAACGAACCUUCGGGUUAGUGGCGGACGGGUGAGUAACGCGUGAGAAUCUGCCCUCAGGAGGGGGACAACAGCUGGAAACGGCUACUAAUACCCCAUAUGCCGCGAGGUGAAAUGAAUUUCGCCUGAGGAUGAGCUCGCGUCUGAUUAGCUAGUUGGUGUAGGUAAUGGCUCACCAAGGCAUCGAUCAGUAGCUGGUCUGAGAGGAUGAUCAGCCACACUGGGACUGAGACACGGCCCAGACUCCUACGGGAGGCAUCUGUGGGGAAUUUUCCGCAAUGGGCGAAAGCCUGACGGAGCAACGCCGCGUGAGGGAUGAAGGCCUCUGGGCUGUAAACCUCUUUUAUCAAGGAAGAAGAUCUGACGGUACUUGAUGAAUAAGCCACGGCUAAUUCCGUG